GGAGAGUAGCCAAAAUGUCUUCCAGUUGCUUCCUGGGAAGGUGGUGCUGGGGUAGUGUAGCCUCUCUGAUUUCUCUGGUCUCCAACUGCACCCCCGAUGAAGUGGGGACCAAAAGCAGGGUUGGAUUUUACAGAAGCUUGGUUCAGUUCCUAAAAGAGAACUCGGGUCAGGUUGCUGGGUCACUCUCUUGAGGAUAGGCCAGCUGCAUGAGCUUGGGAGUCUUAACAACAAAAUUCUGAAGAAAGGUCUAAGGAGCGUUGGUCCAAACACAAUUCCUAAGCUUUGUGUUGACAUAAGAUUCACGGAUUCCUUGGCUGCUAUCCUGUUGACGAAAGGAAAGAAUUGGUUAAAAAAGAAGGAUGUCAGAGGAGUCACUGUUGCUCUUGAAGCACAUCAACUCCCCAAAACUCUGCUUUCAUUUGAAAAGAUUAACCAAGGGUCUCGGAGCAGCAAGUUCAGCAAAAGUUUGCCUUUUCUGUAACACCAUACUGCUGUUGUCCCCAGGGACCACCGGGAUCAGGAAAUAGUGCCAGCUGUCAGGAUUUCUGUCUCUGAUAAGAUGAGAUGACCCACCUUAUUACACAGGGACCAGCAGUAGACCCUUCUGCGAGAUGAACUCGGAUGUUUAUUAAAACUCCAGGCUAAACUGAGGGUCAAAUCAUACAGGAGACAGAUGCUCAUCAAUUCCUGCUGGAUGCAAGUCUUUAUUCGGUAUCAAGGGGUGGAGGGAUUUUACCUAACUUGUUCUGUCGUGUUAACGAUCCUGCCCAACGCGUGAUCAAACAGUAAUCAUUGCCACCGUUCUAAUCCAGAUGUAAAAAUCAUCUGAGCAUCGCUUACAGGGGCUCAGCAAUGCUGCCCUGCCUUGCACACAGCCAUCCACAUGGAUAUUUAUAUCACACCAGGACUGAGGCAUUUAAAGUUUUAUCCAAGUUGCACAUGCUGCUAAUAAAGACUAAAAUACAGAAACUUU